AAUCUGACCACCCUCUGAUGCAGCACCUGUCCCUGACCCCCAGCUGCCCCUCUCCUGACACUGCUUAGUGCUGCUCCUCCACUCCCUGUGAGGAGCUGCAGCUGCUAUGAGGCCUCCCCUCAGCUCCUCUGUUGUGUAUUUCCAGUCAUCCAUGGAUGUUGUCCUGUGCAUGACAAUACAAAUGCAGCUAAAAGGAACUGCCAGACCCUGGAACUUAUGGCUCUGCUAGACUUAUCUUUUCUAUCAGCACUGAUGUGGUUGGAAUACUCUUCCUCAACAUGGAAAGGUGAGUGAAAAGCAUAAUUUUUCACUGAUUCAUAACAGGAGAUCUUGCAUACUAAAUGUACC
rnacentral:lncRNA from 1 species